UACCGUCGGUUGAUCUAUAUACUGUAUCCUUUAUAUAUAGCGUUGUCUGAUCUUGCUUUAACCUUACAUGUUAUACUGUUACAUUUGCAUUCCUCCUUCACCUUCCAAGUGGAUUAAAAUAUAUUCUAGAUUCUUUCUUGUUGUGAAUAAAUAGUCUGUGAAUAGCUCCUCAAACCUUGCCUGCAAUAUAUAUAGUAUAGCACUAAACAUAUAUCGUAUGACCUCCUAUUACCUCCUAAUGUGGUCAUUUUGCAGUCCUGAUGACUGACUAUACAGCUUUAGGUCUUAACAACCUCCUGUCAUCUUUCACAAGUCACUGUCACUUCUGAACUCUUUCCUCCUUCCUUCUUGCUGCUUUCAGUCAGUGUAUCUGAACAAAAACAACCAAAAAGAUCAAGUAUUGUUGCAUGUGUCGAGGCCUUAUUGAAUAUGUUCUAGACUGAUGCAACAGACUCUGUGUGUGAUACAUGAUUUGGGAUACAGCAUGAUAUUAACUGGAUCGUCUUUCAGUCUCUGUACUGAAGCUUUGUGCCAAACAGAUGACUGGUCAUUUACUCUCAGACGUGUUAGUCACCGCGGUGUGCCGUAUUAAAACCUCUGAUUUACCUCGCAAUCUGUUCACGCUUCUGAUAGCACACUGAGCUUUAUGGUCUGCAGUGAACACGAGGAGAAGAAACCAUGCAGGAGAGUUGGCCUCCUCGAAGAAAGACUCCAGACAUUUGACCUGGAAACGGAGAGAGAAUGUUACAGGGCUGAUUGUGUUAUUGUAUUAUUGUUCUACUUUUAUUGGAUCAAUAUUUGUUUAUCUAUUACUUUUCCACUUUCACUGGAUCUGUAAAACAUUAAUCACUGCUGAUCAAUGAAUAAAACAGUGGAAGUAAUGAGUG